AUUGAACGCUGGCGGCAGGCCUAACACAUGCAAGUCGAACGAGUGGCGGACGGGUGAGUACUGUCUGUGAAACUGCCUCAUGGAGGGGGAUAACUACUGUAAACGGUAGCUAAUACCGAAUAACCUCAGAUGUGCCCAGAGGUGAUUAGCUCGUAGGUGUGGUAAAGGCUCACAUAGGCUACUAUCACUAGAUGGUCUGAGAGGAUGACCAGCCACACUGGAACUGAGACACGGUCCAGACUCCUACGGGAGUCAGCAGUGGGGAAUAUUGCCCAAUGGGAGCAAGCCUGAUGCAGCCAUGCCGCGUGUAGGAAGAAGGCCUUCGGGUUGUAAAGUACUUUCAGCGGGGAGGCGUUACCCGCAGAAGAAGCACCGGCUAACUCCGUGCCAGCAGCCGCGGUAAUUC
rnacentral:rRNA from 1 species